rnacentral:lncRNA from 1 species
UUUGGUGCAGGACUUUGAUUGCAGGAUUUUGGGUGCAGCACUUUGGUGCAGAACUGAGUAUGGGGCUUUGGGUGCAGGACUUCGGUGCAGGGCUUUGGGUGCACGACUUUGGGUGCAGGACUUUGAAUGCGGCACUUUGGUGCAGGACUUUGGGCGUGGGAUUUUGCAUCAGGGCUUUGGGUGCAGGACUUUGGUUGCAGGAUUUCGGUGCAGGAUUUGGGCUGCAGGGCUUUGGAUGCAGGACUUUGUUUGCAGGUCUUUGGUGCAGGGCUUUGGGUGCAGGGCUUUGUGUGCAGGACUUUGGUGCAGGACUUUGGUGCAUGAUUUUGAUGCAGGUCUUAGGAUGCAGGACUUUGGUGCAGGAUUUCGAUGCAGGAUUUUGGUGCAGGAUUUCGGUGCAGGUCUUAGGAUGCAGGACUUUGGUGCAGGAUUUCGGUGCAGGACUUUGUGUGCAGGACUUUGGUGCAGGACUUUGGCGCAGGACUUUGGUGCAAUACUUUGUGUACAGGACUUUGGUGCAUGAUUUCGGUGCAGGGCUUUGGAUGCAGGGCUUUGGUGCAGGGUUUCGUUGCAGGGCUUAGGAUGCAGGACUUCGGGUGCAGGAUUUUGGUGCAGGACUUUGGUGCAGGAUUUCGGUGCAGGAUUUCGGUGCAG